rnacentral:rRNA from 1 species
CGAUUACGGGAGGCAGCAGUGAGGAAUAUUGGUCAAUGGGCGGAAGCCUGAACCAGCCAAGUAGCGUGCAGGAUGAAGGCCCUCGGGUUGUAAACUGCUUUUGUACAGAACGAAAAGGGCCUGGCUAAUAUCUAGGUCUCAUGACGGUACUGUAAGAAUAAGCACCGGCUAACUACGUGCCAGCAGCCGCGGUAAUAUCG